rnacentral:tRNA from 1 species
CGCCCGGUGCGCAGGCAGCGGUUACUUCCUCUUGCGGAGAUGGUCGCGGGUUCGAGUCCCGCCCAGGUGA